GGAUAAUGUAAAUGAAAUGUAAAUAUUUUUUAUAUUUGCAGCAGUAUGUCUGACAAACUUAAAGAAUUUCAUUUGAAGAGAGGAAUUGGGCUGGCUGUACUACAAAGUCUUGUCGCUGAUAAGAUUGACUGCAGUGUCAUGUUGUAAAUGGAUGAUAAUACGUUGAAAUCAUACUUACCUGCGUAUGGUGAUAGAGUGUCGGCAAUUGCUUUCUGCAGGUCUCAAACUGAAGGUGAUCAGUCAAGCACUGAAAGUAAUCAGUGCUCAAAUGGAUUGAAUGAAUUACGUGGGAAAUGGAAAAAAGAGCGAUCUACUCUCCGCAGCUGUAGUUUCAAGGCUGGAAAUGCUUAUGCGGAAAGGACCAUAAGAAUGGAUUAAACCAAUCCUUGUGUUAUAAGCAAGUGAGGCAACGAUGUGGAGGUGGUGUCCGCCAUCUCACGGGUGAGAAAACACUUUCUUUAAAGGCAGUCCUUAACCAUGCUUUAGAUGCAUUCUUUCCAUCCGGCGGUUCCCAGCGAGGUAUUUUACAAGAGUUUGAUACGGAACUGAAAGACUUCCAAGGCAUGUGUGUCAAUAUGGAAAAGACAAUCAACGAACUCUAUAUUGAGUCAAAAUUAAAGAUACUUCGGGUAUAUUUAUAUACCAAAAAGAAGACUGAAAAGGAAAAGAGGUGCACACUGCGACCAACAAGCCGUCCAUUACAAUGGAAGAGGUGGCACCAGAGGUUCAGAUCGUGACCACGGCGCCGAUUGCUGUUCGUGACGCAACUCUUUCCGCAUCCAAUGAGUGCAUGGCAGGAACAUAGUGGUGUGAAAUUGAGCUUUAGGUGCCAUAUUCACAGGCUGUUUAUUUCAAAGUCUUCAGAUUUAAAUCUAGAAUAUGAUGAAUCUAGUACAUAUUUGACAUAAAUGCCGCUGGAAAGGUAUAGAUGCCACUGAUAAGGAGUGCCAAUGAUGCUGUCAUUUUGUCAUAAUUUCAUUUCUACAGUUUUGUACAAGUGAUAAUAUUCAAGUUUGUAAAUAAAAAAAAUCGUGUGAUAUUUCGAAAUCUCAGGAAUUUCGACAAAAGCGAUAUCGACAUACCUAAUGAAUUCUAACUGUAAUAGAAAACAAAAUAAAAAUAUUCUUCGAGGUGAUGAAAAAACACAUAUAAAGAAAAACUGCAGACAUGCUUUUUUGUGUCUAAUCAUUGGAAUAAACAAAAUAUCUUGUCUGGUUCGUCCACUGGUCUGUUUGCUUCUUGCCCUGGCUGUGGGUAGAAUUGCAUACUUGUGGCAUGAAAAUUGAGCUUGUUGUUACAUAUCACUAACACUUGGAAACCUUUUUCAAAGUCAAGGUUAAAGCUUUUGAGGCAGGAUAACAUAUGUCAUUAUACCCCAACAAACAAAGUUUGAGAUAGGGUACAUGUAUAUAGGAGUUGCCUCAAUUGUUGAUCAGUCAGUCUGUUGGUCAGUUAGCAAGAAUUAUGUUGAGUGAACUAUACUGGACAUUUCUUAAGAUAUUGACUAAAAACU
rnacentral:lncRNA from 1 species